rnacentral:rRNA from 1 species
CCUACGGGAGGCUGCAGUGGGGAAUAUUGGACAAUGGGGGCAACCCUGAUCCAGCCAUGCCGCGUGUGUGAAGAAGGCCCUCGGGUUGUAAAGCACUUUCAGUGAGGAAGAACGCCUGGAGGUUAAUACCCAUCAGGAAAGACAUCACUCACAGAAGAAGCACCGGCUAACUCCGUGCCAGCAGCCGCGGUAAUACGGAGGGUGCGAGCGUUAAUCGGAAUUACUGGGCGUAAAGCGCGCGUAGGUGGCUUGAUAAGCCGGUUGUGAAAGCCCCGGGCUCAACCUGGGAACGGCAUCCGGAACUGUCAAGCUAGAGUGCAGGAGAGGAAGGUAGAAUUCCCGGUGUAGCGGUGAAAUGCGUAGAGAUCGGGAGGAAUACCAGUGGCGAAGGCGGCCUUCUGGACUGACACUGACACUGAGGUGCGAAAGCGUGGGUAGCAAACAGGAUUAGAUACCCCUGUAGUC